rnacentral:rRNA from 1 species
CCUACGGGAGGCAGCAGUGAGGAAUAUUGCGCAAUGGGGGAAACCCUGACGCAGCAACGCCGCGUGGGUGAAGAAGGCCUUCGGGUCGUAAAGCCCUUUCGGACGGGACGAACGUUCCGCGGGGUCAAGCCGCGGAAUCUGACGGUACCGUAAGAAGAAGCACCGGCUAACUCCGUGCCAGCAGCCGCGGUAAUACGGAGGGUGCAAGCGUUGUUCGGAAUUACUGGGCGUAAAGCGCGUGUAGGCGGCCUUGUAAGCCAGACGUGAAAGCCCCCGGCUU